UACGUAGGUGGCAAGCGUUGUCCGGAUUUAUUGGGUUUAAAGGGAGCGUAGGAGGGCAGGUAAGUCAGUGGUGAAAUCUUCGAGCUUAACUCGGAAACUGCCGUUGAUACUAUCUGUCUUGAAUACCGUGGAGAUGAGCGGAAUAUGUCAUGUAGCGGUGAAAUGCUUAGAUAUGACAUAGAACACCGAUAGCGAAGGCAGCUUGCUACACAAUUAUUGACACUGAGGCUCGAAAAGCGUUGGGGGAUCAAACAGG
rnacentral:rRNA from 1 species